CAGGAGAGGCCGCCAUGUGCAUGGCCAUGUGACAGAGGAACCCAGGACCAAGGAUCACCAGCAGUCAGCCCCAGAACAGCACAGUCUUCUGGGAGGAAGCAUCGCAUUGCUGACGCCUCGAUUUUGGACGUCUCCUAGCCUCGAAACCGUGAGCUGCCAUCCAUCCAUUGCUGAUCAUUGAAGGGAGACCAAGAAGUCUGGGUGUUCUGCUGGUCCGUCUGCUCAGUGUCUGCGUCACCUGGCCUGGCUAUGACCUCAAGGAAGGGAGGUGCCUCCAGAGUGCAAGAGGCAGCAGCCACCUGUCUUCCAGCUGUCUGGGACUGUCUACUGGAGCAAGUGACAUCACAGUGACCAGAAAACACCUCCCCUUUGUCUGGAGCAGUUAUGAUGUCAUUUCCUCUGGCAGGAAGCAGGAUGUUGGC